rnacentral:rRNA from 1 species
AGCCCAGAGCCUGAAUCAGUGUGUGUGUUAGUGGAAGCGUCUGGAAAGGCGCGCGAUACAGGGUGACAGCCCCGUACACAAAAAUGCACAUGCUGUGAGCUCGAUGAGUAGGGCGGGACACGUGGUAUCCUGUCUGAAUAUGGGGGGACCAUCCUCCAAGGCUAAAUACUCCUGACUGACCGAUAGUGAACCAGUACCGUGAGGGAAAGGCGAAAAGAACCCCGGCGAGGGGAGUGAAAAAGAACCUGAAACCGUGUACGUACAAGCAGUGGGAGCACGCUUAGGCGUGUGACUGCGUACCUUUUGUAUAAUGGGUCAGCGACUUAUAUUCUGUAGCAAGGUUAACCGAAUAGGGGAGCCGAAGGGAAACCGAGUCUUAACUGGGCGUUAAGUUGCAGGGUAUAGACCCGAAACCCGGUGAUCUAGCCAUGGGCAGGUUGAAGGUUGGGUAACACUAACUGGAGGACCGAACCGACUAAUGUUGAAAAAUUAGCGGAUGACUUGUGGCUGGGGGUGAAAGGCCAAUCAAACCGGGAGAUAGCUGGUUCUCCCCGAAAGCUAUUUAGGUAGCGCCUCGUGAAUUCAUCUCCGGGGGUAGAGCACUGUUUCGGCAAGGGGGUCAUCCCGACUUACCAACCCGAUGCAAACUGCGAAUACCGGAGAAUGUUAUCACGGGAGACACACGGCGGGUGCUAACGUCCGUCGUGAAGAGGGAAACAACCCAGACCGCCAGCUAAGGUCCCAAAGUCAUGGUUAAGUGGGAAACGAUGUGGGAAGGCCCAGACAGCCAGGAUGUUGGCUUAGAAGCAGCCAUCAUUUAAAGAAAGCGUAAUAGCUCACUGGUCGAGUCGGCCUGCGCGGAAGAUGUAACGGGGCUAAACCAUGCACCGAAGCUGCGGCAGCGACACUAUGUGUUGUUGGGUAGGGGAGCGUUCUGUAAGCCUGUGAAGGUGUACUGUGAGGUAUGCUGGAGGUAUCAGAAGUGCGAAUGCUGACAUAAGUAACGAUAAAGCGGGUGAAAAGCCCGCUCGCCGGAAGACCAAGGGUUCCUGUCCAACGUUAAUCGGGGCAGGGUGAGUCGACCCCUAAGGCGAGGCCGAAAGGCGUAGUCGAUGGGAAACAGGUUAAUAUUCCUGUACUUGGUGUUACUGCGAAGGGGGGACGGAGAAGGCUAUGUUGGCCGGGCGACGGUUGUCCCGGUUUAAGCGUGUAGGCUGGUUUUCCAGGCAAAUCCGGAAAAUCAAGGCUGAGGCGUGAUGACGAGGCACUACGGUGCUGAAGCAACAAAUGCCCUGCUUCCAGGAAAAGCCUCUAAGCAUCAGGUAACAUCAAAUCGUACCCCAAACCGACACAGGUGGUCAGGUAGAGAAUACCAAGGCGCUUGAGAGAACUCGGGUGAAGGAACUAGGCAAAAUGGUGCCGUAACUUCGGGAGAAGGCACGCUGAUAUGUAGGUGAAGCGACUUGCUCGUGGAGCUGAAAUCAGUCGAAGAUACCAGCUGGCUGCAACUGUUUAUUAAAAACACAGCACUGUGCAAACACGAAAGUGGACGUAUACGGUGUGACGCCUGCCCGGUGCCGGAAGGUUAAUUGAUGGGGUCAGCGCAAGCGAAGCUCUUGAUCGAAGCCCCGGUAAACGGCGGCCGUAACUAUAACGGUCCUAAGGUAGCGAAAUUCCUUGUCGGGUAAGUUCCGACCUGCACGAAUGGCGUAAUGAUGGCCAGGCUGUCUCCACCCGAGACUCAGUGAAAUUGAACUCGCUGUGAAGAUGCAGUGUACCCGCGGCAAGACGGAAAGACCCCGUGAACCUUUACUAUAGCUUGACACUGAACAUUGAGCCUUGAUGUGUAGGAUAGGUGGGAGGCUUUGAAGUGUGGACGCCAGUCUGCAUGGAGCCGACCUUGAAAUACCACCCUUUAAUGUUUGAUGUUCUAACGUUGACCCGUGAUCCGGGUUGCGGACAGUGUCUGGUGGGUAGUUUGACUGGGGCGGUCUCCUCCUAAAGAGUAACGGAGGAGCACGAAGGUUGGCUAAUCCUGGUCGGACAUCAGGAGGUUAGUGCAAUGGCAUAAGCCAGCUUGACUGCGAGCGUGACGGCGCGAGCAGGUGCGAAAGCAGGUCAUAGUGAUCCGGUGGUUCUGAAUGGAAGGGCCAUCGCUCAACGGAUAAAAGGUACUCCGGGGAUAACAGGCUGAUACCGCCCAAGAGUUCAUAUCGACGGCGGUGUUUGGCACCUCGAUGUCGGCUCAUCACAUCCUGGGGCUGAAGUAGGUCCCAAGGGUAUGGCUGUUCGCCAUUUAAAGUGGUACGCGAGCUGGGUUUAGAACGUCGUGAGACAGUUCGGUCCCUAUCUGCCGUGGGCGCUGGAGAACUGAGGGGGGCUGCUCCUAGUACGAGAGGACCGGAGUGGACGCAUCACUGGUGUUCGGGUUGUCAUGCCAAUGGCACUGCCCGGUAGCUAAAUGCGGAAGAGAUAAGUGCUGAAAGCAUCUAAGCACGAAACUUGCCCCGAGAUGAGUUCUCCCUGACUCCUUGAGAGUCCUGAAGGAACGUUGAAGACGACGACGUUGAUAGGCCGGGUGUGUAAGCGCAGCGAUGCGUUGAGCUAACCGGUACUAAUGAACCGUGAGGCUUAACCUU